GAUGAACGCUGGCGGCGUGCUUAACACAUGCAAGUCGAACGGAAAGGCUCCUGCUUGCGGGGGUCCUCGAGUGGCAAACGGGUGAGUAACACGUGGGUGAUCUGCCCUGCACUUCGGGAUAAGCCUGGGAAACUGGGUCUAAUACCGGAUAGGACGAUGGUUUGGAUGCCAUUGUGGAAAGUUUUUUCGGUGUGGGAUGAGCUCGCGGCCUAUCAGCUUGUUGGUGGGGUAAUGGCCUACCAAGGCGUCGACGGGUAGCCGGCCUGAGAGGGUGUACGGCCACAUUGGGACUGAGAUACGGCCCAGACUCCUACGGGAGGCAGCAGUGGGGAAUAUUGCACAAUGGGCGCAAGCCUGAUGCAGCGACGCCGCGUGGGGGAUGACGGCCUUCGGGUUGUAAACUCCUUUCGCUAGGGACGAAGCGCAAGUGACGGUACCUGGAGAAGAAGCACCGGCUAACUACGUG
rnacentral:rRNA from 1 species